UGCAUUCACUACUGUAAGUCGCUUUGGAUAAGAGCGUCUGCUAAAUGACUUAAA
rfam:Salmo salar isolate Sally breed double haploid chromosome ssa10, whole genome shotgun sequence.